rnacentral:rRNA from 1 species
CCUACGGGAGGCAGCAGUGAGGAAUAUUGGUCAAUGGGCGCAAGCCUGAACCAGCCAAGUAGCGUGCGGGAUGACGGCUCUAUGGGUCGUAAACCUCUUUUAUACGGGAAUAACGUGCGUUACGCGUCCCGCUUCGCAUGUACCUUAUGAAUAAGGAUCGGCUAACUCCGUGCCAGCAGCCGCGGUAAUACGGAGGAUCCGGGCGUUAUCCGGAUUUAUUGGGUUUAAAGGGUGCGUAGGCGGCAUGUUAAGUGUGCGGUGAAAGGCUGGGGCUCAACCCUGGCCUUGCAGUGGGAACUGGGGGGCUUGAGUCUGUGUGAGGCAGGCGGAAUGCGUGGUGUAGCGGUGAAAUGCAUAGAUAUGACGAAGAACCCCGAUUGCGAAGGCAGCUUGCCAAGGCAGGACUGACGCUGAUGCACGAAAGCGCGGGGAUCGAACAGGAUUAGAUACCCUUGUAGUC